GAAGUGUGGACGCCAGUCUGCAUGGAGCCGACCUUGAAAUACCACCCUUUAAUGUUUGAUGUUCUAACGUUGACCCGUAAUCCGGGUUGCGGACAGUGUCUGGUGGGUAGUUUGACUGGGGCGGUCUCCUCCUAAAGAGUAACGGAGGAGCACGAAGGUUGGCUAAUCCUGGUCGGACAUCAGGAGGUUAGUGCAAUGGCAUAAGCCAGCUUGACUGCGAGCGUGACGGCGCGAGCAGGUGCGAAAGCAGGUCAUAGUGAUCCGGUGGUUCUGAAUGGAAGGGCCAUCGCUCAACGGAUAAAAGGUACUCCGGGGAUAACAGGCUGAUACCGCCCAAGAGUUCAUAUCGACGGCGGUGUUUGGCACCUCGAUGUCGGCUCAUCACAUCCUGGGGCUGAAGUAGGUCCCAAGGGUAUGGCUGUUCGCCAUUUAAAGUGGUACGCGAGCUGGGUUUAGAACGUCGUGAGACAGUUCGGUCCCUAUCUGCCGUGGGCGCUGGAGAACUGAGGGGGGCUGCUCCUAGUACGAGAGGACCGGAGUGGACGCAUCACUGGUGUUCGGGUUGUCAUGCCAAUGGCACUGCCCGGUAGCUAAAUGCGGAAGAGAUAAGUGCUGAAAGCAUCUAAGCACGAAACUUGCCCCGAGAUGAGUUCUCCCUGACUCCUUGAGAGUCCUGAAGGAACGUUGAAGACGACGACGUUGAUAGGCCGGGUGUGUAAGCGCAGCGAUGCGUUGAGCUAACCGGUACUAAUGAACCGUGAGGCUUAACCUUACAACGC
rnacentral:rRNA from 1 species